rnacentral:rRNA from 1 species
AGAGUUUGAUCCUGGCUCAGGAUGAACGCUGGCGGCGUGGAUAAGGCAUGCAAGUCGAGAGGGUUUAGACCCUCGGCAAACGGGUUAGGAAUACAUAGGAAUUUUCCCUGAAGUCGUGAAUAAUCCGGAGAAAUCCGGAAUAAUGCACGAUGUGCUCUACGGAGUAAAGAUUUAUCGCUUCAGGAGAAGCCUAUGUCCUAUCAGCUUGUUGGUGAGGUAAUGGCUCACCAAGGCUAUGACGGGUAGGGGGCGUGAGAGCGUGGCCCCCAACAUUGGGACUGAGACACUGCCCAAACACCUACGGGUGGCUGCAGUCGAGAAUAUUCCACUAUGGACGAAAGUCUGAUGGAGCGACGCCGCGUGCAGGAUGAAGGUUUUCGGAUCGUAAACUGCUUUUGUAAGGGAAGAAUUUCGAUGACGGUACCUUACGAAUAAGAGGUUACUAACUCUGUGCCAGCAGCCGCGGUAA